rnacentral:lncRNA from 1 species
AGUUUUGUGUCCCUGCAGUAGAAGGCAGUGCCCAGAGUGAGUGUACCUACAGGAGAAAUUCUUGGACUUUCAGGGGCAUUGGUACAAACACCCAGUUACCAGCAGGCAUAAGAACAAGCCUUUUGCUUUCUCAUGAUGUAAAUGGAAGUACAGCCCUUGACUUAGACUCACUGAAGAAGCAAACGCUUGGGUACUAGCUCUUUCUAUGAGAGCUCUUCUGAAAAUGCAAACCACUAACCCAGGAAAGCAUUUAAGUUACCAGCUUUAUGGGAGCAUUAAAUGGAGAGAUGCCUGUUUGCCCAACAUCUAAAAGAGUUAGACUGUACUCUUAAAAAAAAAAGGCAGAGUUUUCUUUUUUAAAAUAUGUUUUCCUAGUUUGUUUUAUAAGAAUAAUAUUGGAUUAGUGUGGAAAAUUUGGAAAAUACAAAAAAGCACAAAG